rnacentral:rRNA from 1 species
UACGAAGGGGGCUAGCGUUGCUCGGAAUUACUGGGCGUAAAGCGCACGUAGGCGGCUUUCUAAGUCGGGGGUGAAAUCCUGGAGCUCAACUCCAGAACUGCCUUCGAUACUGGAGAGCUCGAGUCCGGGAGAGGUGAGUGGAACUCCUAGUGUAGAGGUGGAAUUCGUAGAUAUUCGCAAGAACACCAGUGGCGAAGGCGGCUCACUGGUCCGGUUCUGACGCUGAGGCGCGAAAGCGUGGGGAGCAAACAGG